ACGAACGCUGGCGGCGUGCUUAACACAUGCAAGUCGUACGGUAAGGCCCUUUCGGGGGUACACGAGUGGCGAACGGGUGAGUAACACGUGAGUAACCUGCCCACAACUUUGGGAUAACGCUAGGAAACUGGUGCUAAUACUGGAUAUGUGCCCCUGCUGCAUGGUGGGGGUUGGAAAGCUCCGGCGGUUGUGGAUGGACUCGCGGCCUAUCAGCUUGUUGGUGGGGUAGUGGCCUACCAAGGCGGCGACGGGUAGCCGGCCUGAGAGGGUGACCGGCCACAUUGGGACUGAGAUACGGCCCAGACUCCUACGGGAGGCAGCAGUGGGGAAUAUUGCACAAUGGGCGCAAGCCUGAUGCAGCAACGCCGCGUGCAGGAUGACGGCCUUCGGGUUGUAAACCGCUUUCAGCAGGGACGAAGCUUUUUGUGACGGUACCUGCAGAAGAAGCACCGGCUAACUACGU
rnacentral:rRNA from 1 species